ACAACUCACACCCACACAAGAUGCACAUGCAAAGGAAAUGGAGUGGUCCUCUCUCAAGCCUAUAAAUACCACCUCCCAUAUUCAUCAACACAACAGAUUUUGAUCCUUGUUUGGCCGAAAUUUUCCACCACCAUUCUCUCCAAAUUCAGCCAAAAACCACCCCUAGCCACACCACCCAUCAAUCAUAAACCUUUCCAUACCAUUCCCCAUCCAUUCUACACCAU
rnacentral:lncRNA from 1 species